rnacentral:rRNA from 1 species
AUGAACGCUAGCGACAGGCUUAACACAUGCAAGUCGAGGGGCAGCACAGGUAGCAAUACCGGGUGGCGACCGGCGCACGGGUGAGUAACGCGUAUGCAACUUGCCUAUCAGAGGGGGAUAACCCGGCGAAAGUCGGACUAAUACCGCAUGAAGCAGGGAUCCCGCAUGGGAAUAUUUGCUAAAGAUUCAUCGCUGAUAGAUAGGCAUGCGUUCCAUUAGGCAGUUGGCGGGGUAACGGCCCACCAAACCGACGAUGGAUAGGGGUUCUGAGAGGAAGGUCCCCCACAUUGGUACUGAGACACGGACCAAACUCCUACGGGAGGCAGCAGUGAGGAAUAUUGGUCAAUGGCCGAGAGGCUGAACCAGCCAAGUCGCGUGAGGGAUGAAGGUUCUAUGGAUCGUAAACCUCUUUUAUAAGGGAAUAAAGUGCGGGACGUGUCCCGUUUUGUAUGUACCUUAUGAAUAAGGAUCGGCUAACUCCGUGCCAGCAGCCGCGGUAAUACGGAGGAUCCGAGCGUUAUCCGGAUUUAUUGGGUUUAAAGGGUGCGUAGGCGGCCUUUUAAGUCAGCGGUGAAAGUCUGUGGCUCAACCAUAGAAUUGCCGUUGAAACUGGGGGGCUUGAGUAUGUUUGAGGCAGGCGGAAUGCGUGGUGUAGCGGUGAAAUGCAUAGAUAUCACGCAGAACCCCGAUUGCGAAGGCAGCCUGCCAAGCCAUUACUGACGCUGAUGCACGAAAGCGUGGGGAUCGAACAGGAUUAGAUACCCUGGUAGUCCACGCAGUAAACGAUGAUCACUAGCUGUUUGCGAUACACUGUAAGCGGCACAGCGAAAGCGUUAAGUGAUCCACCUGGGGAGUACGCCGGCAACGGUGAAACUCAAAGGAAUUGACGGGGGCCCGCACAAGCGGAGGAACAUGUGGUUUAAUUCGAUGAUACGCGAGGAACCUUACCCGGGUUUGAACGCAUUCGGACCGAGGUGGAAACACCUUUUCUAGCAAUAGCCGUUUGCGAGGUGCUGCAUGGUUGUCGUCAGCUCGUGCCGUGAGGUGUCGGCUUAAGUGCCAUAACGAGCGCAACCCUUGCCACUAGUUACUAACAGGUAAAGCUGAGGACUCUGGUGGGACUGCCAGCGUAAGCUGCGAGGAAGGCGGGGAUGACGUCAAAUCAGCACGGCCCUUACAUCCGGGGCGACACACGUGUUACAAUGGCGUGGACAAAGGGAAGCCACCUGGCGACAGGGAGCGAAUCCCCAAACCACGUCUCAGUUCGGAUCGGAGUCUGCAACCCGACUCCGUGAAGCUGGAUUCGCUAGUAAUCGCGCAUCAGCCAUGGCGCGGUGAAUACGUUCCCGGGCCUUGUACACACCGCCCGUCAAGCCAUGGGAGCCGGGGGUACCUGAAGUCCGUAACCGCGAGGAUCGGCCUAGGGUAAAACUGGUGACUGGGGCU